UUACGGCCAUAUCAUGUUGAAACACUGGUUAUUGUACGAUCACCAAUAUUAAGCAACGUUGAGCCUGGUAAUUACCUAGAUGGGUGACCGCUUGAGAAUACCAGGUGCUGUAAG